AAAUUGAAGAGUUUGAUCAUGGCUCAGAUUGAACGCUGGCGGCAGGCCUAACACAUGCAAGUCGAACGGUAACAGGAAGCAGCUUGCUGCUUCGCUGACGAGUGGCGGACGGGUGAGUAAUGUCUGGGAAACUGCCUGAUGGAGGGGGAUAACUACUGGAAACGGUGGCUAAUACCGCAUAACGUCGCAAGACCAAAGAGGGGGACCUUCGGGCCUCUUGCCAUCAGAUGUGCCCAGAUGGGAUUAGCUUGUUGGUGAGGUAACGGCUCACCAAGGCGACGAUCCCUAGCUGGUCUGAGAGGAUGACCAGCCACACUGGAACUGAGACACGGUCCAGACUCCUACGGGAGGCAGCAGUGGGGAAUAUUGCACAAUGGGCGCAAGCCUGAUGCAGCCAUGCCGCGUGUAUGAAGAAGGCCUUAGGGUUGUAAAGUACUUUCAGCGGGGAGGAAGGUGUUGUGGUUAAUAACCGCAGCAAUUGACGUUACCCGCAGAAGAAGCACCGGCUAACUCCGUGCCAGCAGCCGCGGUAAUACGGAGGGUGCAAGCGUUAAUCGGAAUUACUGGGCGUAAAGCGCACGCAGGCGGUCUGUCAAGUC
rnacentral:rRNA from 1 species